rnacentral:Y_RNA from 1 species
GGCUGGUCCAAAGGUAGUUGACUUAUCUCACUUGAUUGUUCACAGUCAGUUACAGAUUGAAUUCCUUGUUCUAUUGCUGCAGUUCUGGCCCAGGAGGCCAACAAAAAAGAAAAAAAAAAAAAAAGAAAGUGAACUCCUUGUUCUACCACUUUCACCCCUUCUCACUACUGCACUUGACUAGUCUUAA